rnacentral:rRNA from 1 species
AUUGAACGCUGGCGGCAUGCUUUACACAUGCAAGUCGAACGGUAACAGGUUAAGCUGACGAGUGGCGAACGGGUGAGUAAUGCAUCGGAACGUGCCCGGACGUGGGGGAUAACGCAGCGAAAGCUGCGCUAAUACCGCAUACGAUCUGAGGAUGAAAGCGGGGGACCGUAAGGCACCGAGCGAUCGGAGCGGCCGAUGGCAGAUUAGGUAGUUGGUGGGGUAAAGGCCCACCAAGCCGACGAUCUGUAGCUGGUCUGAGAGGACGACCAGCCACACUGGGACUGAGACACGGCCCAGACUCCUACGGGAGGCAGCAGUGGGGAAUUUUGGACAAUGGGCGAAAGCCUGAUCCAGCAAUGCCGCGUGCAGGAAGAAGGCCUUCGGGUUGUAAACUGCUUUUGUACGGAGCGAAAAGGUCCUUUCUAAUACAAGGGGCUCAUGACGGUACCGUAAGAAUAAGCACCGGCUAACUACGUGCCAGCCGCCGCAGUAA